GCCUAGGUGGUGAAAUUGGUAGACACAAGGGACUUAAAAUCCCUCGGCUGGUGACAGCCGUGCCGGUUCGAUUCCGGCCCUAGGCA
rnacentral:tRNA from 1 species